rnacentral:sRNA from 1 species
UAAUUCAUAUGUUAGUUGAGGAAAAACUUCAGGCUGGUCAUAUAGAAUCAACACUUAGACCUUGGAACACCCCCAUUAUUGUUAUUAAGAAAAAGUCAAAUAAUUGGAGAUUACUACAGGAUUUCAUGCAAUUCAGCCUAUGGGAUCAUUGCAGCCCAGACUUCCUUCCCCCACAGCAACUCCUUUAAAAUAUAGCUUAAUGGUAAUAGAUCUAAAAGGUUGUUUUUUCUCAAUAAGGUUGCAUCCUGAGGAUUGUGAAAAAAUUGCUUUCAG